GAUGAAGAACGCAGCGAAAUGCGAUAAGUAAUGUGAAUUGCAGAAUUCAGUGAAUCAUCGAAUCUUUGAACGCACAUUGCGCCCAUUAGUAUUCUAGUGGGCAUGCCUGUUCGAGCGUCAUUAAGUCCACUUAAGCCCUGCUUAGUGUUGGGAGACUGCUCCAGCGGUGCUACCCUGUAGCUACCCUGCAGCUCCUUAAAGACAGCGGCGGAGUUGUGGUAUCCUCUGAGCUUAGUAACUUGUUCUAGCUUUCGAGUACACCACUUCCCCUGCCGUAAAACCCUUAAUUUUUAAUGGUUGACCUCGGAUCAGGUAGGAAUACCCGCUGAACUUAAGCAUAUCAAUAAGCGGAGGA
rnacentral:misc_RNA from 1 species